ACAAGUGUAUAUUAAAGUUGUUGCAGUUAAAAAGCUCGUAGUUGGAUAUCUGUCCUAACUGACCUAGCCCUUGCUUUUGCGAGCGUGCUGGUUGUGGUGACCUAUGCUUCGGCGUUGUGUCGCCCGUCAAGUUGGACAUCCUUCAGGAGAACUAUCCUGCCAUUGAUUUGGUUGGGGUAAGGAUCCUGAUCGUUUACUUCGAAAAAAUUAGAGUGUUUAACGCAGGCUUUUGUGUCGCGAAUAUAUUAGCAUGGAAUAAUAAGAUAGGGCUUCGGCAUGUUAGGGGAGUGCCAUUUUCGGUGGUAGGUCUUCGGACUGUGUCGCUGAAUUUGGGUCAACACUUUCCUGCCGUUCUAUUUUGUUGGUUUCUAGAGCUGAAGUAAUGAUUGAUAGGGAUAGUUGGGGGUGCUCGUAUUGCCGGGCCAGAGGUGAAAUUCUCGGAUUCUGGUAAGACGAACUUAUGCGAAAGCAUUCACCAAGGAUGUCUUCUUUAA
rnacentral:rRNA from 1 species